UCGAGGAUAUUUAGCAAUGGGGGAAACCCUGACUAUGUGACGCCGCGUGAGGGAUGAAGUAUUUCGGUACGUAAACCUCUUUCGACGGGAAAGAAGUGGUGCACCAUAACAUGGUGCACCAUUGACGGUACCCGAAGAAGAAGCCACGGCCAACUCCGUGCCAGCAGCCGCGGUAAUACGGGGGUGGCGAGCGUUACUCGGAUUUAUUGGGUGUAAAGGGCAGGUAGGCGUCCCGGCAAGUUAGAAGUGAAAUCCUAAGGCUUAACCUUAGAACUGCUUCUAAAACUGCCGGGAUUGAGGCUGGGAGAAGAGAGCGGAAUUCCCGGUGUAAGGGUGAAAUCUGUAGAUAUCGGGAGGAACACCAGAGGCGAAAGCGGCUCUCUAGCCUAGUUCUGACGCU
rnacentral:rRNA from 1 species